GGCCAUUCUCAGGUGAUGCACCCCGGAAUUGGGCUCCCUCCUCUCUAGUUCCAGGUGUGUCACCUGAGAACCACU
rfam:Myotis brandtii contig300278, whole genome shotgun sequence.